rnacentral:rRNA from 1 species
AACGAACGCUGGCGGCAGGCUUAACACAUGCAAGUCGAACGGGUGUAGCAAUACAUCAGUGGCAGACGGGUGAGUAACACGUGGGAACCUUCCUAGGGGUACGGAACAACUCAGGGAAACUUGAGCUAAUACCGUAUACGUCCGUGAGGAGAAAGAUUUAUCGCCCUUAGACGGGCCCGCGUCGGAUUAGCUAGUUGGUGGGGUAACGGCCUACCAAGGCGACGAUCCGUAGCUGAUCUUAGAGGAUGAUCAGCCACACUGGGACUGAGACACGGCCCAGACUCCUACGGGAGGCAGCAGUGGGGAAUCUUGGACAAUGGGCGCAAGCCUGAUCCAGCCAUGCCGCGUGAGUGAAGAAGGUCUUCGGAUUGUAAAGCUCUUUUGCCAGGGACGAUAAUGACGGUACCUGGAGAAUAAG